GACAGAGGUGCCAAGCGUUAGGCGGAAUCACUGGGCUUAAAGCGUGUGUAGGUGGACUGGUAAGUACCUUGUGAAAUCCCACGGCUUAACCGUGGAACUGCUGGGUAUACUGCUGGUCUUGAGCAACCUAGGGGCGAGCGGAACAAAUGGUGGAGCGGUGAAAUGCGUAGAUAUCAUUUGGAACGCCAAUGGUGAAAACAGCUCGCUAGGGGUUUGCUGACACUGAGACACGAAAGCCAGGGGAGCAAACGGG
rnacentral:rRNA from 1 species